rnacentral:rRNA from 1 species
UACGUAGGGUGCAGGCGUUAAUCGGAAUUACUGGGCGUAAAGCGUGCGCAGGCGGUUUGCUAAGACAGGUGUGAAAUCCCCGGGCUUAACCUGGGAACUGCGCUUGUUACUGGCAGGCUUGAGUGUGGCAGAGGGGGGUGGAAUUCCACGUGUAGCAGUGAAAUGCGUAGAGAUGUGGAGGAACACCGAUGGCGAAGGCAAUCCCCUGGACCUGUACUGACGCUCAUGCACGAAAGCGUGGGGAGCAAACAGG